CCUACGGGAGGCUGCAGUGGGGAAUAUUGGACAAUGGGCGAAAGCCUGAUCCAGCCAUGCCGCGUGUGUGAAGAAGGCCUUCGGGUUGUAAAGCACUUUCAGUGGGGAAGAAAGCCUUGGGGCUAAUACCCGCGAGGAAGGACAUCACCCACAGAAGAAGCACCGGCUAACUCCGUGCCAGCAGCCGCGGUAAUACGGAGGGUGCGAGCGUUAAUCGGAAUUACUGGGCGUAAAGCGCGCGUAGGCGGUCUGAUAAGCCGGUUGUGAAAGCCCCGGGCUCAACCUGGGAACGGCAUCCGGAACUGUCAGGCUAGAGUGCAGGAGAGGAAGGUAGAAUUCCCGGUGUAGCGGUGAAAUGCGUAGAGAUCGGGAGGAAUACCAGUGGCGAAGGCGGCCUUCUGGACUGACACUGACGCUGAGGUGCGAAAGCGUGGGUAGCAAACAGGAUUAGAUACCCGUGUAGUC
rnacentral:rRNA from 1 species